rnacentral:rRNA from 1 species
AAGGGCACCACAAGAACGCGUGGAGCGUGUGGCUUAAUUUGACUCAACGCGCGAUACCUUACCAGGUCCGAACACACUAAGGAUUGACAGGUGAUAAUUUAAUACUUUUCGAAGUUUUAAAGGCAAAUAUGAUAGUCCUUUCAUGAUUAUGUGAUAGGUGGUGCAUGGCCGUUUUUAGUUCGUGGAGUGAUCUGUCUGCUUAAUUGCGUUUCAGAAAUACGUACCUUUUAAACUUAUGCUUUGAGUUCACUAGUUUGAAUUCGGCAUAUAAAUUAUUUGAGUACUAAUUGAAUGCAACGAACGUGACUCAAACUUCUUAUUGCUUUUAUUUACAACAUAUUUAGUUAAAUUUUAUUUUGCUAUUUGUGUAUAAAAAAGCUUAAAAUUAGAAGGACUGCUAACAAAACAUUUUAAAAUAGAGGAAGGUUUGAGCAACAACAGGUCUGUGAUGCCCUUAGAUGUUCUGGGCUGCACACGCGCUACAAUGACCAUAUUAUUUAGCAUCUUUAUAAUUUGAUGUAUAAUAUAACAUUUACAUUUUUGUUUAUGUUUAUAUUUAUACACUCAAUAAGCCUAUUUUGAAAAUAAAUGGGUAAUCAAUUAGAAAUUGUGAAAUCAUAAUAUAACUGCAAUAUAUGUUAUAUUCAUUUACACAAGACUAUUAUUUUCUUCGGAAUUUUAGUUUGAUGUAUCUGUUAUAACGCAGUUUUAAAUUAAUUCAUAGUGGGGACAGACCAUUGUUAAUUAUUGGUCUCGGUUUAACUAGGAAUGCCUUGUAUAAGUCUUUGGUUCAAUAUACCACUUAGAAUACGUCCCUGCCCUUUGUACACACCGCCCGUCGCUCUUACCGAUGAAUUUUGUUAUGAGUUUGAGGGACUAACCAUAAUAUUACUUCGGUAAUUUAUAAUUCGGAAACUUAAACAAAUAAUAUGAUUUAAAGGAAAGAGAAGUCGUAACAAGGCAUCA